rnacentral:rRNA from 1 species
UAAGGGCGCACGGUGGAUGCCUUGGCACUAGAAGCCGAUGAAGGACGUUACUAACGACGAUAUGCUUUGGGGAGCUGUAAGUAAGCUUUGAUCCAGAGAUUUCCGAAUGGGGAAACCCAGCAUGAGUUAUGUCAUGUUAUCGAUAUGUGAAUACAUAGCAUAUCAGAAGGCACACCCGGAGAACUGAAACAUCUUAGUACCCGGAGGAAGAGAAAGAAAAUUCGAUUCCCUUAGUAGCGGCGAGCGAAACGGGAAGAGCCCAAACCAACAAGCUUGCUUGUUGGGGUUGUAGGACACUCUAUACGGAGUUACAAAGGACGACAUUAGACGAAUCAUCUGGAAAGAUGAAUCAAAGAAGGUAAUAAUCCUGUAGUCGAAAAUGUUGUCUCUCUUGAGUGGAUCCUGAGUACGACGGAGCACGUGAAAUUCCGUCGGAAUCUGGGAGGACCAUCUCCUAAGGCUAAAUACUCUCUAGUGACCGAUAGUGAACCAGUACCGUGAGGGAAAGGUGAAAAGCACCCCGGAAGGGGAGUGAAAUAGAACCUGAAACCGUGUGCUUACAAGUAGUCAGAGCCCGUUAAUGGGUGAUGGCGUGCCUUUUGUAGAAUGAACCGGCGAGUUACGAUUUGAUGCAAGGUUAAGCAGUAAAUGUGGAGCCGUAGCGAAAGCGAGUCUGAAUAGGGCGUUUAGUAUUUGGUCGUAGACCCGAAACCAGGUGAUCUACCCUUGGUCAGGUUGAAGUUCAGGUAACACUGAAUGGAGGACCGAACCGACUUACGUUGAAAAGUGAGCGGAUGAACUGAGGGUAGCGGAGAAAUUCCAAUCGAACCUGGAGAUAGCUGGUUCUCUCCGAAAUAGCUUUAGGGCUAGCCUCAAGUGAUGAUUAUUGGAGGUAGAGCACUGUUUGGACGAGGGGCCCCUCUCGGGUUACCGAAUUCAGACAAACUCCGAAUGCCAAUUAAUUUAACUUGGGAGUCAGAACAUGGGUGAUAAGGUCCGUGUUCGAAAGGGAAACAGCCCAGACCACCAGCUAAGGUCCCAAAAUAUAUGUUAAGUGGAAAAGGAUGUGGCGUUGCCCAGACAACUAGGAUGUUGGCUUAGAAGCAGCCAUCAUUUAAAGAGUGCGUAAUAGCUCACUAGUCGAGUGACACUGCGCCGAAAAUGUACCGGGGCUAAACAUAUUACCGAAGCUGUGGAUUGUCCUUUGGACAAUGGUAGGAGAGCGUUCUAAGGGCGUUGAAGCAUGAUCGUAAGGACAUGUGGAGCGCUUAGAAGUGAGAAUGCCGGUGUGAGUAGCGAAAGACGGGUGAGAAUCCCGUCCACCGAUUGACUAAGGUUUCCAGAGGAAGGCUCGUCCGCUCUGGGUUAGUCGGGUCCUAAGCUGAGGCCGACAGGCGUAGGCGAUGGAUAACAGGUUGAUAUUCCUGUACCACCUAUAAUCGUUUUAAUCGA